CUUUAGUUUCACAGUCAAGAGUCCUCGUCUGAGUCUCUGACACAGGAUCAGGGUUUUCUGUCGCCCAUGUUUCCAGUUUGACCGGUGGAUCAGUCACACUGGUGUCCAGUCUGAGUCCAGUUCUCCCUUUGGACUGUGUGUUUGGUUUCUUUUCUGCACAGCAGAAGUGUUUAACUCCAGCAGGACAAAGAAUGAAUGUGGAGAUUGUCCUGAGCUGACGAGAGUCAGAGUCCCAGUCUGAAGUCUUCUCCCAGUCCGGCUCUGACUGGUUUCCAGUUGGACAGGAAACUGUCUCUCAGUGCAGGGGUGAUUUUUGACUCCUGUCCUUCAUUUAACCCAGAUUCAUCACCCAGGUCCCUAAAACCUCUUUGUACAGAUUGUGAAGAACAAGCAACCUCGUCUUUUCUGUCCGCUUUGUACGACACCUUCUGCUCUACAUGGAUCUGAUGCCGUCACAGGAUUUGAACCAAACUUUAUUGAAACGAUGCUUCACGUCAAACUGUCGACUUCGUGUCAGUUAAACUUCAACAUGUUGCUGAAAAGGUCUCUGUUGUUGGUCCAGUUCUUGGUUGUUCUUGGCUGUUUUCUGGGGAUUAUUGCAUCUGGAUUCAUCCGGACUUCAUUCCUGCCGGCCUCUUCCUCUCAACAUGUUUGUGUUUCGGACUCCGCUCCUGGUUUUCCUCUCGCCUGCCUGCCUCAUCAUCAUUGGAAGCUUGUGUUCACCUUGUUUUGACUUAAUAAAUCAUGUUACAGUGAGCUGAGAGUCUGA